UACGUAGGGACCAAGCGUUGUUCGGAUUUACUGGGCGCAAAGGGCGCGUAGGCGGCGUGGUAAGUCACUUGUGAAAUCUCUGAGCUUAACUCAGAACGGCCAAGUGAUACUGCUGUGCUAGAGUGCAGAAGGGGCAAUCGGAAUUCUUGGUGUAGCGGUGAAAUGCGUAGAUAUCAAGAGGAACACCUGAGGUGAAGACGGGUUGCUGGGCUGACACUGACGCUGAGGCGCGAAAGCCAGGGGAGCAAACGGG
rnacentral:rRNA from 1 species